GGGGAAUAUUCCGAAAUGGUCGCAGCCUGAUGCAGCCAUGCCGCGUGAGUGAUGAAGGCCUUAGGGUUGUAAAGCUCUUUCACCGGGGAAGAUAAUGACGGUACCCGGAGAAGAAACCCCGGCUAACUUCGUGCCAGCCGCCGCGGUAAUAAAUA
rnacentral:rRNA from 1 species